UCCCUGGUGGUCCAGUGGCUAGGACUCUGAGCUCCCAAUGCAGGAAGUCCAGGUUCAAUCCCUGGUCAGGGAA
rnacentral:tRNA from 1 species